UACGUAGGGUGCAAGCGUUGUUCGGAAUUACUGGGCGUAAAGGGCUCGUAGGCGGCCAACUAAGUCGGAUGUGAAAUCCCCAGGCUCAACCUGGGAACUGCAUCCGAUACUGGAUGGCUUGAAUUCGGGAGAGGGAUGCAGAAUUCCAGGUGUAGCGGUGAAAUGCGUAGAUAUCUGGAGGAAUACCGGUGGCGAAGGCGGCAUCCUGGACCGACAUUGACGCUGAUGAGCGAAAGCUAGGGGAGCAAACGGG
rnacentral:rRNA from 1 species